ACCCUUCCGCUCGCUUAGGUUGGCAUGUGCUUUGGGGUCUGCAUGACCCCCCUGCAAAAAAUGUAACUCCUUCCGCUGUGUUACAGGGCAUAAGUGACCCCACGAUGCAUUUCUCGGUGGCCAGCACGAAACCCAUUCCCUCCGCUGUUUAAACGGGCAUAAGUGACCCCACGAGACAAUACUUUAUUUUUUUUUUUCUCUUUCCAUCCUCUCCGCUGUGUUACAGGGCAUAAGUGACCCCACGAUGCAUUUCUCGGUGGCUAGCACGAAACCCAUUCCCUCCGCUGUUUUAACGGGCAUAAGUGACCCCACGAGACAAUACUUUAUUUUUUUUUUCUCUUUCCAUCCUCUCUUCAUUUUCCUUACACCCCAAGACCACCAGGGGGUGGAGAGGGAGGGGGGGGGGGGGGGUAUCAAUUUUUUUUUAAAUUUAUUUUCAUACCCCUCGCGCUGUGGAGUUUGCGACUACUAUUCGCAGUCCAGCCUGUUCCUGUGACGCUUUGAGUGUGUGAAAUAUUGUUGUUUCUUUUGUAAAAAAAAAAUGCUUUUGUCUUUUCACUGUUGCUUGUGUUACUUGACUUGCCUGUGAAACUCAAUAAAACAAUGGAGUUGAUAUGUUUUUUUCCUUGUUGUUUUUUUUUUUUUCUUUCAACCAUUUUUCACUCCAGCAAGGCAUGAGUCAAGGUAAGUAAACUUUACAGCGACUUUUUCUUUUUAGCUGGGACUUUUGAUUAUGUUUUAUGUCUUUCUUUUUUUUAAAAAAAAAAACCUGUUGCAACUGUAAGACUUUAGAUUAUUAUUAAAUACCUUUUAUUUAUUUAUUGCUUUCUUUUUUUGUUGUUUGUUUUUGCUUUCAAAAAAUAAAAAGUUGUGUCUCAGCUCGCUUUUUGGAAAAUCAGUUUUAACAGGAGCAGUUGGUGCAAUACCUCCACACCAGGUGGUGGCAGUAUUGCACCAUUCUGUUUUUCUUGUCAAGCUGCAGGAACCGGAAAUCAGAAGCUAUCCGGUCUACCACGCACGCAUUUAAUUGCUUUUAAAAACUAUAAACACUAAAUUGUGCAGCACUGUAUGCCGUUAUAGUUAUCGAUUAGGGAGGGAAUUCGGACACAGAUUUUCAGGACUUUUGUAACCUUGAGAUUUAAUGUUUACAAGCUUCACGUGUUUACAUGGCUUUGUUACAAAACGGUCCGGUCCACAUCAGCGCCAUCUUCCUUCAUGUCAUCGUCGUCCUCAUCAGAAGAACUGCCGAUAUAAAUGACUCCAACAUGACUGUAAGGUUUGUCUGCUGUUGGAGUGCCUUCAGUUGAAGAUGUGACAUCUUCUAUCAUCUUUUCAUCUUGGAAACUGGUUAGGUUUCUAUUGAUGCCUUCACAGCACAGGUAUUGUCCUCCACAGAGGCAAAAACACCUCUUCCCUGAGCCAGGUUCAGGUGAACCAAAACCUUGGAGGUCCUUAAGAUCUGCAGAAAAAAAUGAAGGGGUAAAAGUUGUCCCGUCUAAAUUUCUUUCGUGAAUAAUGGUAAGAUCUUCCAUCUUGUGCUCCAAUCUGUUGUCCUGGGGAAAGCCUGAAGUAGAAUGGGGAGGCCUUUAUUUAAAUCCUCUGUCUGGAGUCUGACUUCCUAAUAAGGUUGAGGAGCAAAUCAAAAGUUCCCAAGUUUAUGGUUGCUCCUUUACCAUAAACACAUACAUUUUAACUCAAGGAUCAGAAUUAGCUAUUCUAUCAUUGUGCCAUGUCAUGUCAGACACCUCAGAACCCACACAGAUUUAAAUCUAUGGAGGUUUUUAAUACUAAACUCUGUGACAUAACAUAACAAAGAUAUAUCUGGACUUUUUAAACAAAAUUUUCUGAAUCUUUACCAACAAACAGACAAACAAUUUAAGCGUCUAGGUAAUGUACCCAUCUCAUUAGCUGGUCGUGUAAAUAUAGUUAGAAUGAACGUAUUGCCAAAAUAUUUAUUCCUUUUCCAAUGCAUCCCUAUUAUAAUUCAUUAAAAGUUUUUUAAAAAAAAAUCGAUUCUCUUGUCUCAUCAUUUAUUUGGAAUAAAAAAACACCCAGAAUUAAAAAAGUUUUUUUGCAAAGACCAAAAUUCCUGGGAGGAUUAGGACUGCCUAGGUUUAGUCUGUAUUAUUGGUCAUGUAAUAUUUGAUGUAUGUCCUUCUGGGACGGAAAAACCAGACCUGACUGGGAACGGUUGGAAAAUCGAGCUUUCUUCCCAAACACAGCAAAGUCACUGCUAUAUUGUACAUCAGAUCUUUCUAAAUUUAAAUGCCAGAACCCAGUUGUAUCUCAGUCCCUAAAAAUUUGGUCCCAUAUAAGAAAACAUUUUAAAUGGAAUUUUUGUUCAGUACAAAUGCCGUUGACCAACAAUCAAGCUUAUAAAUUACUAUCACAUGAUACAUUUAAACAAUGGGGCUCUAAAGGGAUCCACUUAGUAGCAGAUUUGUUCAUAAAUAAGACUUUCUCUACAUUUGACCUUUGAAAAAUCUCAAGAGUUGAGCUUAAAUGUAAGUGCGGACGAGCCAAUUUAUUCGCCCAAAA